GCCCUUAUAGCUCAGUGGUAGAGCGCUUCACUCGUAUCACCGAUAUGAAGAGGUCCGCGGUUCAAUCCCGCGUGUGGGCA